rnacentral:rRNA from 1 species
AUAAUCGGGUGAGGCUCUGGGUCCACCUCCCACCCGUGUCUAUCGUACCUUGUUGCUUCGGCGGGCCCGCCGUUUCGACGGCCGCCGGGGAGGCCUUGCGCCCCCGGGCCCGCGCCCGCCGAAGACCCCAACAUGAACGCUGUUCUGAAAGUAUGCAGUCUGAGUUGAUUAUCGUAAUCAGUUAAAACUUUCAACAACGGAUCUCUUGGUUCCGGCAUCGAUGAAGAACGCAGCGAAAUGCGAUAAGUAAUGUGAAUUGCAGAAUUCAGUGAAUCAUCGAGUCUUUGAACGCACAUUGCGCCCCCUGGUAUUCCGGGGGGCAUGCCUGUCCGAGCGUCAUUGCUGCCCUCAAGCACGGCUUGUGUGUUGGGCCCCCGUCCCCCUCUCCCGGGGGACGGGCCCGAAAGGCAGCGGCGGCACCGCGUCCGGUCCUCGAGCGUAUGGGGCUUUGUCACCUGCUCUGUAGGCCCGGCCGGCGCCAGCCGACACCCAACUUUAUUUUUCUAAGGUUGACCUCGGAUCAGGUAGGGAUACCCGCUGAACUUAAGCAUAUCAUAGGCGCGGAGGAA